GAUCAACUCGUGAAUAUGUUUGAAUAUGUAGGGAUGGCCGCGGUGGUCAAACUCCUCGACCUCCCUUGUGCCGGGAGUGGGUGCCACGUUGUGUGCUCCCCUCCCAGCCCAACCCAAACCCCGGCGCUUAAUGUGCCAAGGAGCUAAAAUUGGUUAAGUGCGCCCCUGCGGGCACCGGAGACGGUGAUCUCGCAGGAGGUGUGACGCAUGAUAAUAUAUAAACGACUCUCGUGAAUUGCAGAAUCCCGUGAACCAUCGAGUUUUUGAACGCAAGUUGCGCCCGAAGCCAUUAGGUUGAGGGCACGUCUGCCUGGGCGUCACAUAUCGUUGCCCUAUGCCCAAUGCCCAUUGAUAGGCACUGUGCAGGGCGAAUGUUGGCUUCCCGUGAGCAUUGUUGUCUCACGGUUGGUUGAAAACUGAGUCCUUGGUAGGGUGUGUGCCAUGAUAGAUGGUGGUUGUGUGACCCACGAGACCGAUCAUGUGCGGCUCUACCGUCUCUGGACCCUUUGACCCACUUGCGUCCUUGAACGCUCUUGA
rnacentral:rRNA from 1 species